rnacentral:rRNA from 1 species
UGGGGAAUUUUGGACAAUGGGCGCAAGCCUGAUCCAGCCAUGCCGCGUGCGGGAAGAAGGCCUUCGGGUUGUAAACCGCUUUUGUCAGGGAAGAAAUCUUCUGAGUUAAUACCUCGGGAGGAUGACGGUACCUGAAGAAUAAGCACCGGCUAACUACGUGCCAGCAGCCGCGCUAAUACGUAGGGUGCAAGCGUUAAUCGGAAUUACUGGGCGUAAAGCGUGCGCAGGCGGUUUUGUAAGACAGAGGUGAAAUCCCCGGGCUCAACCUGGGAACUGCCUUUGUGACUGCAAGGCUUGAGUGCGGCAGAGGGGGAUGGAAUUCCGCGUGUAGCAGUGAAAUGCGUAGAUAUGCGGAGGAACACCGAUGGCGAAGGCAAUCCCCUGGGCCUGCACUGACGCUCAUGCACGAAAGCGUGGGGAGCAAACAGGAUUAGAUACCCUGGUAGUCCACGCCCUAAACGAUGUCAACUGGUUGUUGGGAGGGUUCCUCCUCAGUAACGUAGCUAACGCGUGAAGUUGACCGCCUGGGGAGUACGGCCGCAA